UACAGAGGUCUCAAGCGUUGUUCGGAUUCAUUGGGCGUUAAAGGGCGCGUAGGCUGCGGGGCAAGUCGGGUGUGAAAUCUCAGAGCUCAACUCUGAAACUGCACUCGAUACUGCUUUGCUCGAGGACUGGAGAGGAGAUUGGAAUUCACGGUGUAGCAGUGAAAUGCGUAGAUAUCGUGAGGAAGACCAGUGGCGAAGGCGGAUCUCUGGACAGUUCCUGACGCUGAGGCGCGAAGGCCAGGGGAGCAAACGGG
rnacentral:rRNA from 1 species